UAACCGAACCAAAGAGAACAAAGGCACAAAUAAAACACAACAACCCACAGAAUAAAGAUGUGAGAAAUGAGCGCGUCUUUUCCUUUUUCCUUUAUUCAAUUCACGCACUUGUUCCAUUCCUUUCCACUUCACUUGUAAUUGAAUAAAGGAAAGGAAAAAGGCACUCAUUCAUUUCUCACACUAGGAUAUAGUUGUGUGUUUUUAAUUGAAGCGAAUAGAACUGAAACAAAGAGAAAGACAAU
rnacentral:ribozyme from 1 species